rnacentral:rRNA from 1 species
CCCUUAGAUGUUCUGGACCGCACGCGUGCUACACUGAGUGGAUCAGCGGGUCAGGUUGCGCGAAAGUGUUUCCUAAUCUUGAAAUCCGCUCGUGAUGGGGAUUGACGGUUGCAAUUUUCCGUCAUGAACGAGGAAUACCUUGUAAGCGCGGGUCAUCAUCCCGCGCUGAAUACGUCCCCGCCCUUUGUACACACCGCCCGUCGCUCCUACCGAUUGAGUGGUCCGGUGAGGCUUUGGGAUCUGAGCAAAGAGAGCGUUUCGCUCGUUUUGCCCGGAAAACUCAGUCGAACCUUAUCAUUUAGAGGAAGGAGAAGUCGUAACA